rnacentral:rRNA from 1 species
CAGCAGCCACGGGAAUACGGAGGGUGCAAGCGUUAAUCGGAAUUACUGGGCGUAAAGCGCACGCAGGCGGUCUGACAAGUCAGAUGUGAAAUCCCCGGGCUUAACCUGGGAACUGCAUUUGAAACUGUCAGGCUGGAGUCUUGUAGAGGGGGGUAGAAUUCUAGGUGUAGCGGUGAAAUGCGUAGAGAUCUGGAGGAAUACCGGUGGCGAAGGCGGCCCCCUGGACAAAGACUGACGCUCAGGUGCGAAAGCGUGGGGAGCAAACAGGAUUAGAGACCCCGGUAGUCCCUGUCUCUUAUAC